AUUGAACGCUGGCGGCAGGCCUAACACAUGCAAGUCGAGCGAGCGGCGGACGGGUGAGUAAUGUAUGGGGACUUCCCGAUAGAGGGGGAUAACUACUGGAAACGGUAGCUAAUACCGCAUACUAUCGGAUAACCCAUAUGGGAUUAGCUAGUAGGUGAGGUAAUGGCUCACCUAGGCGACGAUGCCUAGCUGGUCUGAGAGGAUGAUCAGCCACACGGGGACUGAGACACGGCCCAGACUCCUACGGAGGCAGCAGUGGGGAAUAUUGCACAAUGGGCGAAAGCCUGAUGGAGCAAUGCCGCGUGUAUGAAGAAGGCCCUAGGGUGGUAAAGCACUGUCAGUAGGGAGGCGUUACCGACAGAAGAAGCACCGGCUAACUCCGGGCCAGCAGCCGCGGUAAUUC
rnacentral:rRNA from 1 species